CGACGGUCCUCCUUAACCGGAGGCUAACAGGGAAUGCCGUGCCGCUCCUCGGAGCCAAUCGGCAGCUGUACCCGCAGCUGUAAGCGGCGAGCGACUGCCCAAGAGUCACUGGACCUCCAGGUCUGGGAAGACGAGCAGAAGCGACGACCCGCGAGCCAGAAGACCUGCCGGCGAU
rnacentral:ncRNA from 1 species